rnacentral:rRNA from 1 species
AGUGAACGCUGGCGGUAGGCCUAACACAUGCAAGUCGAACGGCAGCACAGUAAGAGCUUGCUCUUACGGGUGGCGAGUGGCGGACGGGUGAGGAAUACAUCGGAAUCUACUUUUUCGUGGGGGAUAACGUAGGGAAACUUACGCUAAUACCGCAUACGACCUACGGGUGAAAGCAGGGGAUCUUCGGACCUUGCGCGAUUGAAUGAGUCGAUGUCGGAUUAGCUAGUUGGCGGGGUAAAGGCCCACCAAGGCGACGAUCCGUAGCUGGUCUGAGAGGAUGAUCAGCCACACUGGAACUGAGACACGGUCCAGACUCCUACGGGAGGCAGCAGUGGGGAAUAUUGGACAAUGGGCACAAGCCUGAUCCAGCCAUACCGCGUGGGUGAAGAAGGCCUUCGGGUUGUAAAGCCCUUUUGUUGUGAAAGAAAAGCAGCAGGUUAAUACCCCGCUGUUCUGACGGUACCCAAAGAAUAAGCACCGGCUAACUUCGUG